AACCGGGUUAAGUCCCGAAGGCAUUCGUGCGGGUUAUUAUAACCGGGUUAAGUCCCGAAGGCAUUCGUGCUGGUUGUUACAUCCGAGCCAAAUUCUGAAAGUAUUUAUGUUUGGAAAGGUGCGAUUCUGUCGUAAUAAUUCCGAUUAAUGUGCUCAUAAUCCCUAAUAUGACCAGGUAUGGAUCGUAUAUACAUUGGAAAAAUUUGGUACAGUAUAAGUUGUGAUUAUGUAAUCGAAUAAUGCUCUCCCGGC
rnacentral:lncRNA from 1 species